rnacentral:rRNA from 1 species
GACGAAGGUGGCAAGCGUUGUUCGGAAUUACUGGGCUUAAAGGGCGCGUAGGCGGAAUAUUAAGCGUUUUGUGAAAUCCCCCGGCUCAACCGGGGAAUCGCUUGGCGAUCUGGUAUUCUUGAGGCAAGCAGGGGUGCAUGGAACUCUUGGUGGAGCGGUGGAAUGCGUAGAUAUCAAGAGGAACGCCAAUGGUGAAGACAGUGCACUGGGCUUGUUCUGACGCUGAGGCGCGAAAGCGUGGGGAUCAAACAGGAUUAGAUACCCUGGUAGUCCACGCCCUAAACAAUGUCUACUAGGUUGUGGGAGACUGACUCUCUCGCGGCCGAAGCAAAAGUGUUAAGUAGACCGCCUGGGGAGUACGGUCGCAAGGCUAAA